rnacentral:rRNA from 1 species
AAUCAACGCUGGCGGCGUGCCUAACACAUGCAAGUCGAACGCGAAAGCCCCGCAAGGGGUAAGUAGAGUGGCCAACGGGUGAGUAACACGUGGGUGACCUGCCUUCGAGUGGGGGAUAACGUCCCGAAAGGGACGCUAAUACCGCAUGACAUCCUGCUUUUGAAAAAGCGGAGAUCAAAGCUGGGGAUCGCAAGACCUAGCGCUUGAAGAGGGGCCCGCGCCUGAUUAGCUAGUUGGUGAGGUAACGGCUCACCAAGGCGACGAUCAGUAUCCGGCCUGAGAGGGCGGAUGGACACACUGGGACUGAGACACGGCCCAGACUCCUACGGGAGGCAGCAGUGGGGAAUUGUUCGCAAUGGGCGCAAGCCUGACGACGCAACGCCGCGUGGAGGACGAAGAUCUUCGGGUCGUAAACUCCUGUCGAGCGGGACGAACGCUUCGCGGAUGAAUAAUCCGCGGAAUUGACGGUACCGCUAAAGGAAGCCCCGGCUAACUCCGUG